GUUUUCGUAAAUGCAUUUCAGAGAAAAGUGAAUUCUGAGAUUUGAAUAAUGCAUCUGACGUGUGUGUGAUGACGUCACGACGCACGUAUUUUGAUUUUUACCAGUCGUUCAAGGCGGACGGAUUCAGUCCCAAGAAGCUAAAGUUUUUCAAAGACAUUUGUAGGGAGGACUUUGCAGCUAAUGGAGCUGAAGUAUUUUAUGUAAGGAGGAUUUUGCAGCCCAUAUAGGCAAGUCAUUAUAAUGAAAACUCUUAGGGGUGGUUUCCCAGACAGGGA